UACAGAGGUCCCAAGCGUUGUUCGGAUUCACUGGGCGUAAAGGGUGCGCAGGUGGUCGGGUAAGUCUGAUGUGAAAUCCCGCAGCUCAACUGCGGAAUGGCAUUGGAUACUAUUUGGCUAGAGGGUUGGAGGGGGGACUGGAAUUCUCGGUGUAGCAGUGAAAUGCGUAGAUAUCGUAAGGAAGACCAGUGGCGAAGGCGGGUCUCUGGACAGUUCCUGACGCUGAGGCACGAAGGCCAGGGGAGCAAACGGG
rnacentral:rRNA from 1 species